UAGCAGGAUAUCUACUGUGCAGCUUGUGUGGUGCUGCAUUGUCGUUCCCCCUGCUGAAAGUAACAUGUUUCCAGCUAUCCCUGUCUGUCUAGAUCCCCGACAGUUAGGGACGCAAGGUCUCAGACAC
ensembl:snoRNA SNORA63 Small nucleolar RNA SNORA63